UCAAGUGAAGAAGCGCAUACGGUGGAUGCCUUGGCAGUCAGAGGCGAUGAAAGACGUGGUAGCCUGCGAAAAGCUUCGGGGAGUCGGCAAACAGACUUUGAUCCGGAGAUCUCUGAAUGGGGGAACCCACCUAGGAUAACCUAGGUAUCUUGUACUGAAUCCAUAGGUGCAAGAGGCGAACCAGGGGAACUGAAACAUCUAAGUACCCUGAGGAAAAGAAAUCAACCGAGAUUCCCUUAGUAGUGGCGAGCGAACGGGGAUUAGCCCUUAAGCUUCAUUGAUUUUAGCGGAACGCUCUGGAAAGUGCGGCCAUAGUGGGUGAUAGCCCCGUACGCGAAAGGAUCUUUGAAGUGAAAUCGAGUAGGACGGAGCACGAGAAACUUUGUCUGAACAUGGGGGGACCAUCCUCCAAGGCUAAAUACUACUGACUGACCGAUAGUGAACCAGUACCGUGAGGGAAAGGCGAAAAGAACCCCGGAGAGGGGAGUGAAAUAGAACCUGAAACCGUAUGCGUACAAGCAGUGGGAGCCUACUUGUUAGGUGACUGCGUACCUUUUGUAUAAUGGGUCAGCGACUUAUAUUCAGUGGCAAGCUUAACCGUAUAGGGUAGGCGUAGCGAAAGCGAGUCUUAAUAGGGCGUUUAGUCGCUGGGUAUAGACCCGAAACCGGGCGAUCUAUCCAUGAGCAGGUUGAAGGUUAGGUAACACUGACUGGAGGACCGAACCCACUCCCGUUGAAAAGGUAGGGGAUGACUUGUGGAUCGGAGUGAAAGGCUAAUCAAGCUCGGAGAUAGCUGGUUCUCCUCGAAAGCUAUUUAGGUAGCGCCUCAUGUAUCACUCUGGGGGGUAGAGCACUGUUUCGGCUAGGGGGUCAUCCCGACUUACCAAACCGAUGCAAACUCCGAAUACCCAGAAGUGCCGAGCAUGGGAGACACACGGCGGGUGCUAACGUCCGUCGUGAAAAGGGAAACAACCCAGACCGCCAGCUAAGGUCCCAAAGUUGUGGUUAAGUGGUAAACGAUGUGGGAAGGCUUAGACAGCUAGGAGGUUGGCUUAGAAGCAGCCAUCCUUUAAAGAAAGCGUAAUAGCUCACUAGUCGAGUCGGCCUGCGCGGAAGAUGUAACGGGGCUCAAACCACACACCGAAGCUGCGGGUGUCACGUAAGUGACGCGGUAGAGGAGCGUUCUGUAAGCCUGUGAAGGUGAGUUGAGAAGCUUGCUGGAGGUAUCAGAAGUGCGAAUGCUGACAUGAGUAACGACAAUGGGUGUGAAAAACACCCACGCCGAAAGACCAAGGUUCCUGCGCAACGUUAAUCGACGCAGGGUUAGUCGGUUCCUAAGGCGAGGCUGAAAAGCGUAGUCGAUGGGAAACAGGUUAAUAUUCCUGUACUUCUGGUUACUGCGAUGGAGGGACGGAGAAGGCUAGGCCAGCUUGGCGUUGGUUGUCCAAGUUUAAGGUGGUAGGCUGAAAUCUUAGGUAAAUCCGGGGUUUCAAGGCCGAGAGCUGAUGACGAGUCGUCUUUUAGAUGACGAAGUGGUUGAUGCCAUGCUUCCAAGAAAAGCUUCUAAGCUUCAGGUAAUCAGGAACCGUACCCCAAACCGACACAGGUGGUCGGGUAGAGAAUACCAAGGCGCUUGAGAGAACUCGGGUGAAGGAACUAGGCAAAAUGGCACCGUAACUUCGGGAGAAGGUGCGCCGGCUAGGGUGAAGGAUUUACUCCGUAAGCUCUGGCUGGUCGAAGAUACCAGGCCGCUGCGACUGUUUAUUAAAAACACAGCACUCUGCAAACACGAAAGUGGACGUAUAGGGUGUGACGCCUGCCCGGUGCCGGAAGGUUAAUUGAUGGGGUUAGCGCAAGCGAAGCUCUUGAUCGAAGCCCCGGUAAACGGCGGCCGUAACUAUAACGGUCCUAAGGUAGCGAAAUUCCUUGUCGGGUAAGUUCCGACCUGCACGAAUGGCGUAACGAUGGCGGCGCUGUCUCCACCCGAGACUCAGUGAAAUUGAAAUCGCUGUGAAGAUGCAGUGUAUCCGCGGCUAGACGGAAAGACCCCGUGAACCUUUACUGUAGCUUUGCACUGGACUUUGAGCCUGCUUGUGUAGGAUAGGUGGGAGGCUUUGAAGCGUGGACGCCAGUUCGCGUGGAGCCAUCCUUGAAAUACCACCCUGGCAUGCUUGAGGUUCUAACUCUGGUCCGUGAUCCGGAUCGAGGACAGUGUAUGGUGGGCAGUUUGACUGGGGCGGUCUCCUCCUAAAGAGUAACGGAGGAGUACGAAGGUGCGCUCAGACCGGUCGGAAAUCGGUCGCAGAGUAUAAAGGCAAAAGCGCGCUUGACUGCGAGACAGACACGUCGAGCAGGUACGAAAGUAGGUCUUAGUGAUCCGGUGGUUCUGUAUGGAAGGGCCAUCGCUCAACGGAUAAAAGGUACUCCGGGGAUAACAGGCUGAUACCGCCCAAGAGUUCAUAUCGACGGCGGUGUUUGGCACCUCGAUGUCGGCUCAUCACAUCCUGGGGCUGAAGCCGGUCCCAAGGGUAUGGCUGUUCGCCAUUUAAAGUGGUACGCGAGCUGGGUUUAGAACGUCGUGAGACAGUUCGGUCCCUAUCUGCCGUGGACGUUUGAGAUUUGAGAGGGGCUGCUCCUAGUACGAGAGGACCGGAGUGGACGAACCUCUGGUGUUCCGGUUGUCACGCCAGUGGCAUUGCCGGGUAGCUAUGUUCGGAAAAGAUAACCGCUGAAAGCAUCUAAGCGGGAAACUUGCCUCAAGAUGAGAUCUCACUGGGAACUUGAUUCCCCUGAAGGGCCGUCGAAGACUACGACGUUGAUAGGCUGGGUGUGUAAGCGUUGUGAGGCGUUGAGCUAACCAGUACUAAUUGCCCGUGAGGCUUGACCAU
rnacentral:rRNA from 1 species